rnacentral:rRNA from 1 species
GAUGAACGCUGGCGGCGUGCUUAACACAUGCAAGUCGAACGGAAAGGCUCCUGCUUGCAGGGGUACUCGAGUGGCGAACGGGUGAGUAACACGUGGGUGAUCUGCCCUGCACUUCGGGAUAAGCCUGGGAAACUGGGUCUAAUACCGGAUAGGACGAUGGUUUGGAUGCCAUUGUGGAAAGUUUUUCGGUGUGGGAUGAGCUCGCGGCCUAUCAGCUUGUUGGUGGGGUAAUGGCCUACCAAGGCGUCGACGGGUAGCCGGCCUGAGAGGGUGUACGGCCACAUUGGGACUGAGAUACGGCCCAGACUCCUACGGGAGGCAGCAGUGGGGAAUAUUGCACAAUGGGCGCAAGCCUGAUGCAGCGACGCCGCGUGGGGGAUGACGGCCUUCGGGUUGUAGACUCCUUUCGCUAGGGACGAAGCGCAAGUGACGGUACCUGGAGAAGAAGCACCGGCUAACUACGUG